GAUGAACGCUAGCUACAGGCUUAACACAUGCAAGUCGAGGGGUAACGAGAGGAAAGCUUGCUUUCCUUGUCGACGACCGGCGCACGGGUGAGUAACGCGUAUCCAACCUGCCCCCAACUAGGGAAUAACCUUGCGAAAGUAAGACUAAUACCCUAUAAUUUCCUCAGAUGUCAUCUGACGAGGAAUAAAGAUUUAUCGGUUGUGGAUGGGGAUGCGUCUGAUGAGCUUGUUGGCGGGGUAACGGCCCACCAAGGCAACGAUCAGUAGGGGUUAUGAGAGGAAGGUCCCCCACAUUGGAACUGAGACACGGUCCAAACUCCUACGGGAGGUAGCAGUGAGGAAUAUUGGUCAAUGGGCGGAAGCCUGAACCAGCCAAGUAGCGUGCGGGAUGACGGCCCUAUGGGUUGUAAACUGCUUUUAUACAGGAAUAAAGUUAGCCACGUGUGGUUAUUUGUAGGUACUGUAUGAAUAAGGACCGGCUAAUUCCGUGCCAGCCGCCGCCGUAA
rnacentral:rRNA from 1 species